UACGUAGGGUGCGAGCGUUAAUCGGAAUUACUGGGCGUAAAGCGUGCGCAGGCGGCUUGCCAAGUCAGAUGUGAAAGCCCCGGGCUUAACCUGGGAAUGGCGUUUGAAACUGGCAGGCUAGAGUUUGGCAGAGGGGGGUGGAAUUCCACGUGUAGCAGUGAAAUGCGUAGAGAUGUGGAGGAACACCGAUGGCGAAGGCAGCCCCCUGGGCCAAAACUGACGCUCAGGCACGAAAGCGUGGGGAGCGAACAGG
rnacentral:rRNA from 1 species